rfam:Vigna angularis cultivar Jingnong 6 chromosome 4, whole genome shotgun sequence.
GGCCUAUUAACUUAGCUGGUUAGAGUGUCGUGCUAAUAACGCGAAGGUUGCAGGUUCGAGACCUGCAUUGGUCA